AAGAGGAAACUAAGAGAAACCAAAAGGACUAGCCAUCAAACCCCAUUAAAUUCCAUUCAUCCUGAAGAGUAUUGGGCUCCAUCAACUUUUGCUCUUCCUUCUUCCACUGAAAGUAGUGCUACUCCAGCACCAGAUGAGAAACCUUCAGUUACUAAAGCACAGAAAAAAACUAGAGAAAGAGAUCAUGGAACACGUGAGAAUCAUAAUAGCCCUUUUACAUGGGGAUUUCCGGUGGUUACCGCAAUGAUUGCGGUGGCUACGGUUCGGUUACAUGAAGUUGAGUUAACAACUGAGUUGAAACAACAUGUGGGUGGCUCUUUAGCCGUGGAAAUUGUUAACAGCUCUUGGUUGCAGUGUGUACUGGCAGCAGCUACAUGGUAUAUGAUUGGAUUGGCAGUUGUAGAACUUGUGGCACUCAUUGGAAAUAGAACUAGAUAGAAGUAUACGAAGUAGAAGCUUAAAGGGUAAUUGCUUAGCAAAGAUAGGAUAGUUAUAUGCAAUAAGCUGUAAUGUAUAUGAAAAGACUCAUGAAUCACACACACACACUGGAGAUGUUCUAUUGUAAGUUCACCAUUCAGAAUAUCAUUAUUGUUCUCUAAUAUACUCCACUAAGAAUAUCCUCCUUCUACAAAUUAAUUAUAGAAAUUAAUUUUUAUGCACUCACAGUGUAAAUAAGUUUUACAUCAUUGAAUCACAUCCCUUCAUUUUGCAAGCUCAUAAUUAAUUAUGAAUUUAAUAAUAAUUAGAAUAGGAAAUGGAAGGUUGUGAUUGAAUGAUUGUGUAUAACUUUUUACACCUUCAAUACAUAGAAAUUAAUCUCUUAAUUAUAAAGUACAAAACACAUAAUGAACUAUUUAUCCUUGAAUAAUGUUUGGUUUACACUAGAAACACAUCUACACUAAGUGAGAUACAAGAGAGUGAACUAAGAUAUACGAUAAAUGAUAUGAUUAAAAUAGAGAGGAGGAUUGCUAAAUACACUCAGUUUGACAGCUUUUCUAAUGCUAGUUAAAAUCUAUAUAAACCCCACCAAAUUGAGAGUGAAACCCAUAUAAUUUAGUGAACUUAAGUGAAUUUUAAUAGUGAUAGAAAAAAGAGUUAUUGGUCAAAUUAGUUAUUUUGUAAGCGAAUUUGAUUUAGUCUUUUGGCGGAAAACGAAUAGAGGUGGUAAAAAAAAAACCAGUAAUUAUAAAAAUGACUAUCACUAAAUGUCAUUUUUCCGCAUUGAGAGACUAAAUUCAGACUAAAUUCAACUCAAACAUAAAAUCAGAGACUAAUUUAACCAUUAAUCCUAAAAAAAAUGUGUCAAAAAUGAGUAUUACUAGCAUUUCUCCACAAAUAGCAAGUGAGAGUGAAAUAUGAAUGAAGCAACUCACAUUAUCUGUGAGACUAUCCUCCAUGCAGCUCCUCCCCCAAGAACUGACCCAAUCUUUCUUCAGUUGUGGCAGAGAGAACUGGUUAAUGUCGAACCUGGACAACCACAAUUAUUUCCAUUACGAGGUUCCUUGGAGCAGCGUGUUUGGUGUUGCCUUGGAAGUCAUAUGGAGAUCCAGAAACGAGCUAAUUUUUUAGAACUUGGGAAACUCCCCUUAUGCUACUUGUAGCAGAAUUCGAAGCCUCAUAAUGGAUAUCAAAAUUGCCUCCUUUGAUGAAUCUUCAAGCCUCUAAGUCACUCGGGUACGUGAUCUAACUUCUAAGAACCAUGAGAUGGUCCCCCCUCC
rnacentral:lncRNA from 1 species